UACGUAGGGUGCAAGCGUUGUCCGGAAUUAUUGGGCGUAAAGAGCUCGUAGGCGGUCUGUCGCGUCUGCUGUGAAAACUCAGGGCUUAACCCUGAGCUUGCAGUGGGUACGGGCAGACUAGAGUGCGGUAGGGGAGACUGGAAUUCCGUGGUGUAGCGGUGAAAUGACGCAGAUAUCAGGAGGAACACCGGUGGCGAAGGCGGGUCUCUGGGCCGAUACUGACGCUGGAGGAGCGAAAGCGUCGGGGAGCAAACAGG
rnacentral:rRNA from 1 species